rnacentral:piRNA from 1 species
UGUGGGUGUAUUGAAAGGGUUUAUAUAUAGC